rnacentral:lncRNA from 1 species
AGAGGAGGCCCUGGGAAAAUGGUAAGUAAUGUAUGUUCUUACAGGAAAGACCAGGACCCCAUUCUACAGGCCUGGCACAGAGUUAACUUGGACUAAUUGGUGACAAGUUCACCCAACCCUUAUGUGAAUUGUUUGUGUUAUGAUGCAUUUCAUAGAGCAUAGUGUUAAUGUGUUUUAAUAGCUCUACUCACUGGGCUUUUAGCUCACCCCUCUCCCUUUACCCCCAGGCUUGCAGGUACAGGAUAUAGCAGGAGUCCGGAUAGAGUACAGAAGUCAUGUUUAUGUAAUAGCUAG